AUGCAUGUCUAAGUACAGUCGUGUUCACACGACGAUACCGCGGACGGCUCAUUAAAUCAGUCGUGGUCUAAAUGGGUCCGUCCUCACGGUAUACUUGGAUAACCGUGGUAAUUCCAGAGCUAAUACAUGCAACUCAUAUCCAGAGGUGCGCAAGCACCGACGGAAGCACUUAUUAGACCAAUGCCCUCGGCGCCGCGCACCUUGCGUGCGCGCGUCGCCACUCGCAUAAAUGGUGACUCUGGAUAAUUACCUGGACGAGCGCACGUAUCUGUUCAAACAGAACGGCGCCGCCUCUUUCGAGUGUCUGCCUUAUCAGCCAUCAAUCGCUCGUUAUGUGCGAACGAUGGCCUUGACGGGUAACGGRGAAUCAGUGUUCGAUUCCGGAGAGGCAGCCUGAGAAACGGCUACCACGUCCAAGG
rnacentral:rRNA from 1 species